GACGGAGGAUGCAAGCGUUAUCCGGAAUGAUUGGGCGUAAAGCGUCCGCAGGUGGCAGUUCAAGUCUGCUGUCAAAGACCGGGGCUUAACUUCGGAAAGGCAGUGGAAACUGAACAGCUAGAGUAUGGUAGGGGCAGAGGGAAUUCCUGGUGUAGCGGUGAAAUGCGUAGAGAUCAGGAAGAACAUCGGUGGCGAAGGCGCUCUGCUGGACCAUAACUGACGCUGAUGCCCGAAAGCUAGGGGAGCAAACAGG
rnacentral:rRNA from 1 species